CGGGAUGUAGCGCAGCCUGGUAGCGCACUUGACUGGGGGUCAAGGGGUCGCAGGUUCGAAUCCUGUCAUCCCGACCA
rnacentral:tRNA from 1 species